GGCAGAAUGGCUGAGUAAGCAUUAGGAUGUAAACCUAAAGACAGAGAUUAAAGUUCUCUUUUUACCA
rfam:Chlorocebus sabaeus isolate 1994-021 chromosome 6, whole genome shotgun sequence.